GCUGCCUGGCCUCGGUGCCCGCGCCCGGCCCAGCCCGGGGCCCGCCCUCCCCUCUUCCUGGGCAGUGGCCCCGCCCGCGUUUCCAGGCUUCCUCUUGAUAAUAGCGAGUAGCCCUGGAGUGGUGUCAGCCCGCCAGGCUGAGCGCUCUGCGUAUUCAGGCGUUGAAGUUGGGGAGAAGAAGUGGGUGACUGUGGGUGACACGUCCCUGAGGAUAUUUAAGUGGGUUCCUGUGACAGACAGCAAGGAGAAAGAAAAGUCAAAAUCGAACAUUUCAGCAGCCCGAGAACCUAAUGGCUUUCCUUCUGAUGCCUCAGCCAAUUCCUCUCUCCUUCUUGAAUUCCAGGAGCCCUCCCUGCCCUCCUCGGAAGUUGCUGAUGAACCUCCUACCCUCACCAAGGAAGAACCAGUUCCACUAGAGACACAGGUCGUUGAGGAAGAGGAAGACUCAGGUGCUCCGCCCCUGAAGCGCUUCUGUGUGGACCAACCCACAGUGCCGCAGACGGCGUCAGAAAGCUAGCACCGUCCCGGCCCUCCGCCUCCUGGCCCUGCCUCUAUUUAUUGCAUUCUGGUUCUGGCCGCGCUGCGUUGCUGGGGUAAGGGCAAGCACUGGGGUCAAGAGCCUGCACACAUGAGCCUUCCGGGCUGGAAGGCUGGCGUAGGACUUGGGGCUGUAGCAUCAUCUUCCCGACCCUGGCACCUGUGUCUACUUGCUCC
rnacentral:sRNA from 1 species